rnacentral:rRNA from 1 species
UCCUACGGGUGGCUGCAGUGAGGAAUCUUCCACAAUGGGCGAAAGCCUGAUGGAGCAACGCCGCGUGCAGGAUGAAGGCCUUCGGGUCGUAAACUGCUUUUAUAGGUGAAUAAUAUGAAUGUAGCUUAUGAAUAAGCACCGGCUAACUACGUGCCAGCAGCCGCGGUCAUACGUAGGGUGCAAGCAUUAUCCGGAGUGACUGGGCGUAAAGAGUUGCGUAGGUGGUUUGUUAAGUGAAUAGUGAAAUCUGGUGGCUCAACCAUUCAGACUAUUGUUCAAACUGGCAGACUCGAGAAUAGCAGAGGUAACUGGAAUUUCUAGUGUAGGAGUGAAAUCCGUAGAUAUUAGAAGGAACACCGAUGGCGUAGGCAGGUUACUGGGCUAUUUCUGACACUGAGGCACGAAAGCGUGGGGAGCGAACCGGAUUAGAUACCCGGGUAGUC